rnacentral:rRNA from 1 species
GACAGAGGAUGCAAGCGUUAUCCGGAAUGAUUGGGCGUAAAGCGCGUGUAGGCGGCCGGCUAGGUCUGGUGUGAAAACUCGAGGCUCAACCUCGAGAUGUCGCCGGAAACCAGUCGGCUAGAGUCCGGAAGAGGAGAGUGGAAUUCCUGGUGUAGCGGUGAAAUGCGCAGAUAUCAGGAAGAACACCUAUGGCGAAAGCAGCUCUCUGGGACGGUACUGACGCUGAGACGCGAAGGCGUGGGGAGCGAACAGG